GAUGAACGCUGGCGGCGUGCCUAAUACAUGCAAGUCGAGCGAACAGACGAGGAGCUUGCUCCUCUGACGUUAGCGGCGGACGGGUGAGUAACACGUGGAUAACCUACCUAUAAGACUGGGAUAACUUCGGGAAACCGGAGCUAAUACCGGAUAAUAUAUUGAACCGCAUGGUUCAAUAGUGAAAGACGGUUUUGCUGUCACUUAUAGAUGGAUCCGCGCCGCCUUAGCUAGUUGGUAAGGUAACGGCUUACCAAGGCAACGAUGCGUAGCCGACCUGAGAGGGUGAUCGGCCACACUGGAACUGAGACACGGUCCAGACUCCUACGGGAGGCAGCAGUAGGGAAUCUUCCGCAAUGGGCGAAAGCCUGACGGAGCAACGCCGCGUGAGUGAUGAAGGUCUUCGGAUCGUAAAACUCUGUUAUUAGGGAAGAACAAAUGUGUAAGUAACUAUGCACGUCUUGACGGUACCUAAUCAGAAAGCCACGGCUAACUACGUG
rnacentral:rRNA from 1 species